CGUAAGUGGCAAGCGUUGUCCGGAUUUAUUGGGUUUAAAGGGUGCGUAGGCGGCCCUGUAAGUCAGUGGUGAAAUACUCCAGCUUAACUGGAGGGGUGCCAUUGAUACUGCAGGGCUUGAGUACAGAUGAAGUAGGCGGAAUUGACGGUGUAGCGGUGAAAUGCAUAGAUAUCGUCAAGAACUCCGAUAGCGAAGGCAGCUUACUAAGCUGUAACUGACGCUGAGGCACGAAAGUGUGGGGAUCAAACAGGAUUAGAUACCCUGGUAGUCCACACUGUAAACGUUGAUGACUCGAUGUUGGCGAUACACAGCCAGCGUCCAAGAGCAAUCGUUAAGUCAUCCACCUGGGGAUACGCCGGCAACGGUG
rnacentral:rRNA from 1 species